GGGGCUAUAGCUCAGUUGGUAGAGCGCUUCCUUAGCGUGUCCUAGGACUUCGAUUGGAUGAGGUCUGGCGUUCGAAUCGCCAUUGCUCCA